rnacentral:lncRNA from 1 species
GCUGUAGGGAUUUGUCGAGAAGCUGUUGCUCCAGCUUUAGAAGAUCUUUUGAAGAUCUUCCAGAUCAGAUCCAGAUCUAAAUUUUGGAACAAAGAUUUGCAAGGAGAAGACAACCCAGAUCCUACUUGAGUAGAUACCGGUAGAGGGCAGGCAACUGCAUGGCUAUUUUUGAACCUCGGGCAUUGCUACGAUCAUCUACAGGGUAAUCUAGUUACCCUAGAGGUAUUUCUCUAAUCCUCAAAUUUUAUAUUUAAUUUUAGAUUAAAUAUCAGAUAAUAAGAAUCAGAUCUAAUAGAUCUUAGAUCU